rnacentral:rRNA from 1 species
UACGAAGGGGGCUAGCGUUGUUCGGAAUCACUGGGCGUAAAGGGCGCGUAGGCGGAUUUGCCAGUCAGGGGUGAAAUCCCGGGGCUCAACCUCGGAACUGCCUUUGAUACAGCAAGUCUUGAGUUCGAGAGAGGUGGGUGGAAUUCCUAGUGUAGAGGUGAAAUUCGUAGAUAUUAGGAAGAACACCGGUGGCGAAGGCGGCCCACUGGCUCGACACUGACGCUGAGGUGCGAAAGCGUGGGGAGCAAACAGG